rnacentral:rRNA from 1 species
UACGUAGGCAGCGAGCGUUGUUCGGAGUUACUGGGCGUAAAGAGUGCGUAGGCGGUUUUCUAAGUUUGGUGUGAAAUCUCCCGGCUUAACUGGGAGGGUGCGCCGAAGACUGGAAGGCUUGAGUAUGGGAGAGGUAAGCGGAAUUCCUGGUGUAGCGGUGAAAUGCGUAGAUAUCCGGAGGAACACCGGUGGCGAAGGCGGCUUCCUGGACCGAUUACUGACGCUGAGGCGCGAAAGCUAGGGGAGCAAACGGG